rnacentral:rRNA from 1 species
GACGAACGCUGGCGGCGUGCUUAACACAUGCAAGUCGAGCGGGAUCCAACCGGUGGCAACACCGGGGAAGAUCUAGCGGCGAACGGGUGAGUAACACGUGAGCAACCUGCCCCGAAGACUGGGAUAACACCGGGAAACCGGUGCUAAUACCGGAUGUCGUCAUUAGGCCGCAUGACCUGAUGAUGAAAGGAUUCAUCGCUUCGGGAGGGGCUCGCGGGCUAUCAGCUUGNGGUGGGGUAACGGCCUACCAAGGCGACGACGGCUAGCUGGUCUGAGAGGACGACCAGCCACACUGGGACUGAGACACGGCCCAGACUCCUACGGGAGGCAGCAGUGGGGGAAUAUUGGACAAUGGGCGCAAGCCUGAUCCAGCCAUGCCGCGUGAGUGACGAAGGCCUUAGGGUUGUAAAGCUCUUUUGCCGGGGACGAUAAUGACGGUACCCGGAGAAUAAGUCCCGGCUAACUUCGUGCCAGCCGCCGCGGUAAC